UCUAGUUAACGGAAAGUAUAUGUGCUCAUGUAGGUAGCAUUUCAAUUUUAGGUUUCUUUACCAUCUUUGAAAUCUCAUGGCGACCCUGCGAGAAGCACUUGUUCUGAAAUCUCAUUAUCACAACAUCCCAUGGGAGAAGCAGGAAGCAAUUACAUUAAGGAGACACUAGGGGAGCAGGGGGUUGAUGUAAUUUCAUUAUUGUGCCCUACUGAGACCACCAAGUGCUAGUGCGGUUUUUUGCUUCUGCAUUUACGCAUUAUUGGGUAUAUGUGUGCCUAUGACUUGAAGGACAACCAACAGGGGCUGGGGCACAACUGCUUAGCUACACAUCCCAACCUAGGGAGAGGGUUCAUAUCCAAAGUUGUAUGCCUAACAUUUGGUAACCAUUGGUUAGCUAUGGUAGGAAAGGUUAGCAUCUUCCAGUAAGAACAAAUGGACUAAUUAAGGUGAAAAUCCUAAUUACAUUUGCUUAAAGGAAGUUACAUCUAUUUCCAAAUCAUUGUGCUUAGAGCAGAGACACAUGACUUUAGUUUUGCACACAGUAACAAACAAACAAACAAACAAACUUCUGGUGGUUUAAAUGCACCCCAUGUUUGGAAAAGCACUGUCUGAUACAUGUGGUGGCAGUGUCCCUUUGUAGCUACAUUUUGUGACUCUGCUUUUGAGCAUGUAUGUAAAGUUACCUAUCAGCAGGUCCCUAAAUCUCCUUUGCUGCCAUUGUUAGGUUCUAUUUUUGUAAGUUCUAAUCUAAACUAAUGCAUAAUGAGCAUCUGCUGUAAUUUUUAGUAACUGCUAGGAUGUCAGUUUCUAGUGGCUGGUAGAGCUGUAAUGAACUCUCGGGAACUGGAAUAACCACAUCAGAAAAUAGGGAUGGAGCUUGCUGGAAUUUUUCAUUUGGUUGCAUAAAAUCAGCUUAUUAAGUCAUUCAAUUCACUAACCACCUUGUAAUUUGAAACUGAUGUAAGUGACUUUGACUGUCUUCUUAAAAAAAAAUAAUCGUUUCACAAUUGAUUGUGCAACUUAGGUUUUACUAAUGUUAAUAAUUUUUGGCUCCCAGCUCCCUGGGUGGUAUUUUGCCCUGAAGGUCAUAUGGUGUUCUUAUUCUCAGCAAAACAAAGUUUUUUCUUCACCUUAUGCUUCCUCUGUUAAUCACACCUUCCUGCAAUCUUUUUCCUCCUCCACGAAGUAUUAAUUGAAAGGGCAGCUCAUCCUUGUGGUCUUUUGAGACCUGAAAUUUUCCAGAAUUUGUUUUUUCCUUUAAAAAAUUUUUAAAAAAUACAUUUUGUAAGUGGUGUUGUGUUGUCUGAAUUGUUAAAGUAAUUUUUAAAUUGUAUCAUGCUUGUUAUCUUCCUUAGUCAUUUUGUUCUGACUUCUCCAUUUUUUAAUGUUACUCUCAUGACUCCUUCUAAUCACCAGCCAUACCACCCACCUCCACAGUCCUUAAGGAUGUGUCACAAGAGACAUCAGUUUAUGCACCAGGAGAAUUCCAAUUUGUGUCGGAGACUGAGUUGACACUGACAGGUAACCUGCAACAUUUUCAGCCCAAGAGAUGAGUUGCCCCUCUAAAAGCAAAGCACAGACACACUGUUAACAUUCCCAUUUUCACAGCAGCAUUUUGCCCUGGCACUCCACACAAACCCAACGUAAUCUUACAGCACUGUAUUAAUGUGCCUUAAUUUCUGUCAUGCUGGGUUGCUUUUAUAUGUCUUUAAAGUUUCUGUUUCUCUAAGCUCCUGGUGGUGGCACCCUUAAAACAAAAAUACUGAAACUGCGCAAAUGGAACUAGAGAAACAGGCAUUGCCAUUUAUAGCUGAUUAGCUGGCACGCUGGUUGCAUGACUCCUUGUAAAAGUAACUUUAUACCCCAAUAUUUGCAGCCUUCUGUCUAGAGUCUGAACUCAUGUGCUCUUGAUGCAAAACAGCUACAAGUUUAUACAUGAACAUGACAUUUCCAUUUUAUGGCCAGAAUGAAUUAGUAAGGAAUGGAGCAAAUGGAAUACACAGACGGCUUAACUCUAGAAGAACACAACUCAGUGGGAAAGUGUUCCAGCAAGUGAAGAACAAUGGAGAGUGGCAGAACAAAGUAUAAAAGAAUCUCCCCUAGGUAAAACUGUGUUUUUGCUGUUGGAAACAGAAGGUAGAUAGUGAUUGUAAACAUUACCUAGAAUGCUGUUGGGCCAUAGAAAGCUCAACAGCAGCAGUUGUGCAAUAAACCUGUCAUCUUCAGAUGCUACUUUCCUGCAAAAACAAAAGGAGGAAUUCUGAAGUGAAUUAUUUUUUAAAAAAGAAGCUAUGCAGCAAAACUAAAAUUAGGGCAAUUAAUUCCCAUGUUGGUAUACAAAGGUAUCUGUGUAUAAUUCCCACUAGAGUUUGAGGUAGAUUAAAAAGAUUCACAAGAUUUACUUUGCAAUAAAUCCUGCAUUUUCAGAAUACUUUCCUUAUCUCAAAUGGUCUCAGAUUUUCCGAGCAACACAUUCCCACUGCUUUCUUCCUCAGAAAGGGUCAUACUAGUGAUAAAUGAAGCAGCGACCCAGCGGUAUUCAAAAUGUCCUUCUGAGUUGUUAGCAACUUGAGUACAAUUCCAAACACAUUUAUUUGGAACGUGGGUUUUGCUUUUAUUUUUAUCUUUUUAAGGAACAGAUCCAGUUUGCACAAUACUCGCUUGAUGUGGCAGGUACCAAAAAUAAUAACAAAAGAUACAACUCCAUGAUCAGUCUUUCUUCUACACCGGGGGAGACAGAGGCUGGAUCCGGAUCUACUCAUAGAUCAGGAAGGAUUUCUGACUUCCAAUGGUGCAACAGUGGUUCUUUCUCUGUAUUCGGAUGCUGAGCUUAAGAAAACUUUGGGGGAAACCACGCACGGGAGCUGUCAAACUAAGGGCUCACAUGUGGAUGUUUCAAAUAAACAGAAGAGCCCAACUCU